GCAUAGAUGGCCUGCCCCUAUCAGUUGAAGGGGUGAAAGUACCUUCUAUCCAUCAACGCGUACGGGUGUUGGAGACAUUGCCCGGAGAUGAAUUCUGAGACACGAAUCCAGACCCUACGGGUGCAGCAGGCGCGAAAACUUGGCAAUGCGAGCAAUCGUGACCAGGGAACUCCAAGUGCGUAGGGUAAGACAUACGCUUUUCUUGACUCUUCAAAGUUCUUGGAAUAAGGGGUGGGUAAGGACGGUGCCAGCCACCGCGGUAAUACCGUCGCCUCAAGUGGUAUUCGAGUUUAUUGGGCCUCAAACGUCCGUCGCCUUUGUGGUACAUUCGUGGGUAAAUCAACCAGCUCAACUGGUUGUAAUUUCUGCGAGCACGUCCAGACUUGUGACCGGGAGAGUUGUGGGGUACGUUCAGGGUAGGGGUAAAAUCCUGUCAUCCUAAAAGGACCACCUGUUGCGAAGGCUCCACACUAGAACGGAUCCGACGGUCAGGGACGAAGCCUAGGGGCACGAACCGGAUUAGAUACCCGGGUAGUCCUAGGUGUAAACGCUGUGGACUUGGUGUUGGGGACUCUCCGAGAUUCCUCAGUGCCGAAGCGAAGGUGAUAAGUCCACUGCCUGGGGAGUACGUUCGCAAGGCUGAAACUCAAAUGAA
rnacentral:rRNA from 1 species